AGUCAACUCGACUGACUUGAGAGUCGACUCGAGAUAUUCGAGAGACGUCUCGUUCUCAGAGGCCUAAAAGAUGAUUCUCUGUCUUUUGAACUGUUCUGCCUCGGAGUCGACUCGGAUCUUGUUGGAGUCGACUCGGCUAACUUGGAAGUCGACUCUGAAAUACUUGGAGUCGACUCGUUCACAGAAUCUCCAAGACUGAGUCUCUGCCUUUCAGACUGUUUUUCUCUAGGAGUCGACUCGGACAAACUGGGAGUGGACUCGGCUAAUGUGGAAGAUUCUGCAGUCUCAUUAUUAGUAUGCAAUUGAAGCACAUGUGAGCUAAUCUGAGAUUUAUCAUAAAUAUUUUUUAAAGUAUCCCAGAUUUCUUUAGCAGAUAAGCAUGCAGAAAUCUUAUGAAAUAUAGAUUAAUGGAUAGCACAAUAUAAAAAGUUCAUAGCAUUAGCAUUCAAUUGUGCUAAGUCUUUUUCAUUGACAUUUUGAGAGAGUGUGUGAGGUCCAUUUAUAAUGAUAUUCCAUAUUUUAUAAUUUUGUGAUUGAACAAAAAUUUUCAUUCUAGCUUUUCAUUGAAUAUAGUAAGUUCCAUCAAACAGUGGAGGUCUGUUUAUAGAAAGUCCCUCGG
rnacentral:lncRNA from 1 species